UACGUAGGGGGCAAGCGUUGUCCGGAAUCAUUGGGCGUAAAGAGCGUGUAGGUGGCUCGGUAAGUCCGCUGUGAAAGCCCAGGGCUCAACCCUGGAAAGCCGGUGGAAACUGUCGAGCUAGAGUCCGGAAGAGGCGAGUGGAAUUCCUGGUGUAGCGGUGAAAUGCGCAGAUAUCAGGAGGAACACCAAUGGCGAAGGCAGCUCGCUGGGACGGUACUGACACUGAGACGCGAAAGCGUGGGGAGCAAACAGG
rnacentral:rRNA from 1 species